rnacentral:misc_RNA from 1 species
GCGCAUAUCCUACCGACUCCGGCCUAAAGAAGACUUUUUCUAAGAGGAAGGUUUCAUGUUUUCGAAAACUGCAUAAGUAUUUUUUACCCAACCACACCUGCAUAUUGAAUUGUGGAUGUAACCAUGGCUUCGGCUACUAUUGAGCAAAACUCUGGUAACCAUACCAAUUCUUCAGAUGCAAAAACAGGAGAUUCUACUGGAUGGAAAUCUAAGCUGAAUCUCCCACCAAAAGACUUGCGAGUCAGAACCAGUGAUGUAACAAACACCAAAGGAAAUGAGUUUGAGGACUUCUGUUUGAAGCGAGAACUUCUAAUGGGGAUUUUUGAGAAGGGAUGGGAAAAACCGUCUCCUAUUCAAGAGGCUAGCAUACCUAUUGCUCUAACAGGAAGGGAUGUAUUGGCUCGGGCGAAAAAUGGCACAGGAAAAACAGGAGCCUACACUAUUCCAAUUUUGGAGAAGGCAGACCCAAGUAGAGAUGAAGUUCAGUCUCUGGUCAUCGUGCCCACCCGAGAGCUGGCUCUCCAGACCAGCCAGAUCUGCAUUGAGAUCAGUAAACAUUUGGGGCUCAAAGUGAUGGUCACAACAGGAGGAACAAAUCUAAAGGACGAUAUAAUGCGACUCUAUGAACCAGGUGACCUUAACAUUAACAUAUGGACCGUAGGGGGGGGAGCCCCGGGAAGGGGACAGAAAUUGGGUGUGGUGCCUUGUAUUUGACUGAGAAGAGUCUCUCUUUCUUUCAGUGCAUGUGAUUAUUGCAACUCCCGGUAGAAUAUUGGACCUGAUGAACAAGAAUCUAGUCAAAAUUGGUAAAUGUGGAAUGCUAGUUCUGGAUGAGGCUGAUAAACUGCUGUCUCAAGACUUCAAGGGGAUGCUGGAUCACAUCAUUGCCCACCUCCCCCCGGACCGCCAAAUCCUCCUGUAUUCCGCAACCUUCCCCCUGACUGUUGAACAAUUCAUGGUGGGUAAACAUGUCAAGUCUAUGUCCCAGUUAUAUUAGCUGCGUUGUUUCUCUGCCACUCUCUGAGAAUAAUAGUACCGCACAUAACAUGCAAUCUGGUUUAUAUACAUGUACAUGUAUCAGAGGGGCAUGCCUUACAAUGAAAAUUAAUUGAAAUUUAUCUCUUACUUUGGUCCUGUCUGUAGUUUGGGUUAAUAAAUGAAGUAAUGACACACUAAUUCUUUAUGCAGGUUUACUUGGAAUAAACUUAGAAACUAGUUUUGAAACUAGAGAUUUUCAUUUCUAUGGUUUAUGGUUGCACUGGCUUUAUUUAUGAUUGAAAUAGGUAUUGAUUUUCUUGGUUUGUGUAAUCUUUUGUGCAAGUUGAAUAGUGUUUCUUUCUCUCUCUCCCUGUCUCUCUCAUUAUGAGUAAAUGAUCUUGGAAUGAUGAAAACCUUUGUCAGUUCUGCUGCUGAGUGAGAUGUGCUGACACUUACAGUUUCUGACAAGAUCCAAACCAACACUGAACGGACCUGCUCUUAGUUAAAGGAUAUUUGAGAAUUUAGUUACAAUUUGUUUUUUUGUGGUGUUUUUUUUGUUUGUUUGUUUGUUGUUUUUUUUUUGGGGGGGGGGGGGGGGGGGGGGGGUUCUUCACGAUUCCAUGAAACUAAAAUUACCAGAAAAGAAAUAAAACUGUUGAGGCUUUGUAGAUGGGGACAUUUUUUUCCCAAGUUGCAUGAUAAUGAUUAAGUUGAAAAUUAAUCUAAGCACAAACCAAUUUCAAAUCAAUAAUAUGCUUUGAAUCUUGAGUGAAAUACUUUCUAGUUGGUCAGUCUGAGAGGGCAAACGUUCAACUCUUUAGGUAUAUGGGUCAUUGUUUUCCUUUGUAUUUUUCAUUAUUUCAUCCACUUAAUUAUUGAUUGGAUUUUUUUCUCUUAAAAGCGCAUACUUUGCAUUUUAGCAAUAAAAUUAUUAGAAUGUAUUUUUCACCGACAAUGGAUCAUUGUUUCAUCAUAGUCUUGGUAUGAUGAAAACCUUUUGUCAGUUCUGCUUCUGAGUGAACAUGCUGACACAUUACCACUUCUGACCAGGCUUUGUUUGAACUGUAAAAGGAUGUGGCAACUUAAAAAUUCUGUCUUUUAGAUCAGGCUACCUUUGAGAAAUUGAUUGUUGCCCUUUUCUGGCUGAU